CGUCGACAAUCGGGCACUGUGGCAAACUGCGACAAUGCCAAUGGAGACGGAUGAGACCGUGUUAUUCCAGCAGCCGCGACUCCUGGAAUGGUCACGCGGCUGAGGCACCCUUGCUGGGUACCCCAGCCGAUGCCGAUGUUCCAGCCGCAGUCACGGCGGCAGCCACAGCACGGCCUCAUCCGUCUCCAUUGGCAUUGUACACCGUCUGCCACAGUGCCCGAUUGCCGCCG
rnacentral:pre_miRNA from 1 species